rnacentral:lncRNA from 1 species
CAAUAUGCCGAUGACAGGAGUGGUGUUCCAGCCGUUCGAGGAGGUGAAGAAAGCCGAUCUGGCCAUUCCAAUCACAUCUAAUGCCUCCCUCGCUCGCCAGAGGUAUGCCGACUCUAGCGAGGCUGCCAUUAACGAGCAAAUCAAGUAAGCAUCCAUCCAAUAAUAAUAAAAAAAGCUCUCUUAAAAUGAAUAUGUUACGAUAAGAUUUAGAUAUUAACAGAGGUUUGUUGAUUUUUGGACAGUGUGGAAUACAACGUGUCGUAUGUGUACCAUUCAAUGUACGCCUACUUCGACAGAGACAACGUUGCUCUCAAGGGUCUUGCCAAGUAACUUUUUCUUACUACUGCUUUCAAUCUUAAUCUAACUAAAGCAAAAAAUUAAUAUAAUGAUAAAACUUGGUUCAGAUUUUUCAAGGAAUCAAGUGAUGAAGAAAGAGAGCACGCUGAGAAGUUUAUGGAGUACCAGGUUUCCCUCUCUUUAUUUUUUUCUUCUUCUUCUAGAUGUUGAAAAGAAUAGUGAUUGAUGUUAAAUAUAUAUAUGGUUUAUGUAUGUGUAUAGAACAAAAGAGGAGGAAGAGUGACACUCCACCCUAUCGUCUCCCCUAUCUCUGAUUUUGAACAUGCUGAAAAAGGAGAUGCCUUAUAUGGUAUAUAUAUAUAUAUUUUUUAUACCAAAAAAAAAAACACUUUCGUUCUUGAUUAAUAAGUGUAUACACAGAUCUUCAAAUGGUCUUAAUUAUACUAAUCUAUAUUAUUUUCAGCAAUGGAGUUGGCCCUGUCUCUGGAGAAACUUACCAACGAGAAGCUUCUAAACCUUCACAGAGUAUGUUCCCAAAACUUAUCCAUCUAAACUCAAUCAAAUAAGGCAGUCACUAAUUUUAAAAUAAUAAUUAAAAAAACAGGUGGCAUCAGAGAACAAUGACCCACAGUUAGCUGAUUUUGUUGAGAGUGAGUUUCUUGGAGAGCAGGUGUGUUUUUCUUUUGUUUGUUUUAUUAACUAGCGACUUGAAACUAGUACCCACUUUUAAAAAACAUAUUUUUCUCUCCCCUUAGAUUGAAGCAAUCAAGAAGAUCUCAGACUUCAUCACCCAGCUAAGGAUGGUUGGCAAAGGACACGGUACGCUGUUUGAUCUAAACCUCCCCUGUAUUCAGUUUGAGUUUCACUAGGACUAGAAUUUUUAUCAGUUUUUUUAGAAAAGCUCAUUAAAUUUGUAUGUGUCUUUUUGCAGGAGUUUGGCAUUUCGACCAGAUGCUUUUGAACUAGACUGGAAGUUCACUUUAUGCUCUGCGGAGAUUAAAAGAGAAGAAACAGAAGAAGAUUCUGUAAAAGUUGCUAGAGUGAAAGUUAUUAUUGGAGCAAAAAUAAGAUUGUAGUAGUAAUAGUAGUAAGCUUUUGUGUGUUAAGAUGAUGGGUUUUUUUUUGUAAUAAUUUCCUAAGUUUAAUCUAUGAAGGUGUUUUUUGUUUCAUAUUUUCAUGUUCUGACUAUAUAUAUGAACAAACGGAGACUUGAGUCUGAUUAAUAGGAAGAGAAACACUCUAACUAAACGCAAUGCUGCAAUUCAAAAGGUGAAAGAAGAGUUAAAAAAAAGAAAGAAUAAGGAACCUGUGGAUGAAGAAGACCUGGUCACUCAGUGAGAUAACUGAAAAAAAACAAACAAAGAAAGAGUUAAAAAGAAAAGAUAUAUGAAUUGAGACUUUUAACAUAAGUGUGAUAGAAAGUUGCUAAUAUUUCCAAACAGUAUGCUUGAUCCAGAGCUAGUAUCUGAUGCCCUAACUUAGAUUCUAUCUUGAACACUAGACUAGAUAGUCUUCUUUUUUAUAUAUAUGUGUUAAGAACAAAGAAAAUGACCUCUCUGUUUCCACAAAAGUUUGGAUUAUGGAGUCCAUGAAAAGUAGCAUGAGGUAUGAAAACAACACACUAAGCUAUCAGUGGAGAGAUUAUUAAAUAAGAUUCUUCAGACCACUAAGCAGGCAUUAUAAAGGUAAAGAGUAGGAAUCAGAAUAUAUAUAUAUAAUGGCGAAUCAAGUUGAGUGAGCUUUUUGGGGUGCUUUCGUCAUCCAAAGCCGAAGAAGAAAGUUCAUAUCAUAUAGGGGAACAAAUGAUUCUAUCUGGAAUGGAUCCUAUGACAAAGAACAGUUAUCACAGACUCACAGUAGUAGUAGUGCUCCACAAUCAAAAGCAGAAGGGAACUCUGUACAAAUAAAAUAAUCCCCAAGAAAAAUGCAAAGAGGACUUACCUAUGGUUUCACCCAGAAAUCAUGGAAAAAAAAUGAAAAUAUACUAAUCAUUCUUAGUAGUCCAUCAUAACAGUAUCUUGUAGAUACAUCCACGAUUCCUUUUUUCUUAAUCCCCUAAAGUUAUCCAAGUCUCAGAAAUUCAAAUAAAAAAGAAACUCAGACUGUGUGAUAAGAAUUGAUCGCCUUCUCCGACCACUGAGGAGGUUUCUCUCUUGAUGAUAUGUGAAUUCCAAAGGUGGCCCCCCC